rnacentral:rRNA from 1 species
GUCUACAGCCAUACCAUCCUGAACACACCCAAUCUUGUCUGAUCUUGGAAGCUAAGCAGAGUCUGGGCCUGGUUAAUACUUGGAUGGGAGACUGCCUGAGAAUACUAGAUGCUGUAGGUG